rnacentral:rRNA from 1 species
AGUCGAACGGUAACAGGUCUUCGGACGCUGACGAGUGGCGAACGGGUGAGUAAUACAUCGGAACGUGCCCAGUCGUGGGGGAUAACUACUCGAAAGAGUAGCUAAUACCGCAUACGAUCUGAGGAUGAAAGCGGGGGACCUUCGGGCCUCGCGCGAUUGGAGCGGCCGAUGGCAGAUUAGGUAGUUGGUGGGAUAAAAGCUUACCAAGCCGACGAUCUGUAGCUGGUCUGAGAGGACGACCAGCCACACUGGGACUGAGACACGGCCCAGACUCCUACGGGAGGCAGCAGUGGGGAAUUUUGGACAAUGGGCGAAAGCCUGAUCCAGCAAUGCCGCGUGCAGGAUGAAGGCCUUCGGGUUGUAAACUGCUUUUGUACGGAACGAAAAAGCUUCUCCUAAUACGAGAGGCCCAUGACGGUACCGUAAGAAUAAGCACCGGCUAACUACGUGCCAGCAGCCGCGGUAAUACGUAGGGUGCGAGCGUUAAUCGGAAUUACUGGGCGUAAAGCGUGCGCAGGCGGUUAUGUAAGACAGAUGUGAAAUCCCCGGGCUCAACCUGGGAACUGCAUUUGUGACUGCAUGGCUAGAGUACGGUAGAGGGGGAUGGAAUUCCGCGUGUAGCAGUGAAAUGCGUAGAUAUGCGGAGGAACACCGAUGGCGA